rnacentral:rRNA from 1 species
UUAAGCGACUAAGCGUACACGGUGGAUGCCCUGGCAGUCAGAGGCGAUGAAGGACGUGCUAAUCUGCGAUAAGCGUCGGUGAGGUGAUAUGAACCGUUAUAACCGGCGAUUUCCGAAUGGGGAAACCCAGUGUGUUUCGACACACUAUCAUUAACUGAAUCCAUAGGUUAAUGAGGCGAACCGGGGGAACUGAAACAUCUAAGUACCCCGAGGAAAAGAAAUCAACCGAGAUUCCCCCAGUAGCGGCGAGCGAACGGGGAGGAGCCCAGAGCCUGAAUCAGUGUGUGUGUUAGUGGAAGCGUCUGGAAAGGCGCGCGAUACAGGGUGACAGCCCCGUACACAAAAAUGCACAUAUUGUGAGCUCGAUGAGUAGGGCGGGACACGUGGUAUCCUGUCUGAAUAUGGGGGGACCAUCCUCCAAGGCUAAAUACUCCUGACUGACCGAUAGUGAACCAGUACCGUGAGGGAAAGGCGAAAAGAACCCCGGCGAGGGAGUGAAAAAGAACCUGAAACCGUGUACGUACAAGCAGUGGGAGCCUCUUAAUGGGGUGACUGCGUACCUUUUGUAUAAUGGGUCAGCGACUUAUAUUCUGUAGCAAGGUUAACCGAAUAGGGGAGCCGAAGGGAAACCGAGUCUUAACUGGGCGUUAAGUUGCAGGGUAUAGACCCGAAACCCGGUGAUCUAGCCAUGGGCAGGUUGAAGGUUGGGUAACACUAACUGGAGGACCGAACCGACUAAUGUUGAAAAAUUAGCGGAUGACUUGUGGCUGGGGGUGAAAGGCCAAUCAAACCGGGAGAUAGCUGGUUCUCCCCGAAAGCUAUUUAGGUAGCGCCUCGUGAAUUCAUCUCCGGGGUAGAGCACUGUUUCGGCAAGGGGGUCAUCCCGACUUACCAACCCGAUGCAAACUGCGAAUACCGGAGAAUGUUAUCACGGGAGACACACGGCGGGUGCUAACGUCCGUCGUGAAGAGGGAAACAACCCAGACCGCCAGCUAAGGUCCCAAAGUCAUGGUUAAGUGGGAAACGAUGUGGGAAGGCCCAGACAGCCAGGAUGUUGGCUUAGAAGCAGCCAUCAUUUAAAGAAAGCGUAAUAGCUCACUGGUCGAGUCGGCCUGCGCGGAAGAUGUAACGGGGCUAAACCAUGCACCGAAGCUGCGGCAGCGACACUAUGUGUUGUUGGGUAGGGGAGCGUUCUGUAAGCCUGUGAAGGUGUACUGUGAGGUAUGCUGGAGGUAUCAGAAGUGCGAAUGCUGACAUAAGUAACGAUAAAGCGGGUGAAAAGCCCGCUCGCCGGAAGACCAAGGGUUCCUGUCCAACGUUAAUCGGGGCAGGGUGAGUCGACCCCUAAGGCGAGGCCGAAAGGCGUAGUCGAUGGGAAACAGGUUAAUAUUCCUGUACUUGGUGUUACUGCGAAGGGGGACGGAGAAGGCUAUGUUGGCCGGGCGACGGUUGUCCCGGUUUAAGCGUGUAGGCUGGUUUUCCAGGCAAAUCCGGAAAAUCAAGGCUGAGGCGUGAUGACGAGGCACUACGGUGCUGAAGCGACAAAUGCCCUGCUUCCAGGAAAAGCCUCUAAGCAUCAGGUAACAUCAAAUCGUACCCCAAACCGACACAGGUGGUCAGGUAGAGAAUACCAAGGCGCUUGAGAGAACUCGGGUGAAGGAACUAGGCAAAAUGGUGCCGUAACUUCGGGAGAAGGCACGCUGAUAUGUAGGUGAAGCGACUUGCUCGUGGAGCUGAAAUCAGUCGAAGAUACCAGCUGGCUGCAACUGUUUAUUAAAAACACAGCACUGUGCAAACACGAAAGUGGACGUAUACGGUGUGACGCCUGCCCGGUGCCGGAAGGUUAAUUGAUGGGGUUAGCGGUAACGCGAAGCUCUUGAUCGAAGCCCCGGUAAACGGCGGCCGUAACUAUAACGGUCCUAAGGUAGCGAAAUUCCUUGUCGGGUAAGUUCCGACCUGCACGAAUGGCGUAAUGAUGGCCAGGCUGUCUCCACCCGAGACUCAGUGAAAUUGAACUCGCUGUGAAGAUGCAGUGUACCCGCGGCAAGACGGAAAGACCCCGUGAACCUUUACUAUAGCUUGACACUGAACAUUGAGCCUUGAUGUGUAGGAUAGGUGGGAGGCUUUGAAGUGUGGACGCCAGUCUGCAUGGAGCCGACCUUGAAAUACCACCCUUUAAUGUUUGAUGUUCUAACGUGGGCCCCUUACCGGGGUUGCGGACAGUGUCUGGUGGGUAGUUUGACUGGGGCGGUCUCCUCCUAAAGAGUAACGGAGGAGCACGAAGGUUGGCUAAUCCUGGUCGGACAUCAGGAGGUUAGUGCAAUGGCAUAAGCCAGCUUGACUGCGAGCGUGACGGCGCGAGCAGGUGCGAAAGCAGGUCAUAGUGAUCCGGUGGUUCUGAAUGGAAGGGCCAUCGCUCAACGGAUAAAAGGUACUCCGGGGAUAACAGGCUGAUACCGCCCAAGAGUUCAUAUCGACGGCGGUGUUUGGCACCUCGAUGUCGGCUCAUCACAUCCUGGGGCUGAAGUAGGUCCCAAGGGUAUGGCUGUUCGCCAUUUAAAGUGGUACGCGAGCUGGGUUUAGAACGUCGUGAGACAGUUCGGUCCCUAUCUGCCGUGGGCGCUGGAGAACUGAGGGGGCUGCUCCUAGUACGAGAGGACCGGAGUGGACGCAUCACUGGUGUUCGGGUUGUCAUGCCAAUGGCACUGCCCGGUAGCUAAAUGCGGAAGAGAUAAGUGCUGAAAGCAUCUAAGCACGAAACUUGCCCCGAGAUGAGUUCUCCCUGACUCCUUGAGAGUCCUGAAGGAACGUUGAAGACGACGACGUUGAUAGGCCGGGUGUGUAAGCGCAGCGAUGCGUUGAGCUAACCGGUACUAAUGAACCGUGAGGCUUAACCU